rnacentral:rRNA from 1 species
UACGAAGGGGGCUAGCGUUGCUUGGAAUCACUGGGCGUAAAGCGCGUGUAGGCGGCUUUGCAAGUCGGAUGUGAAAGCCCACGGCUCAACCGUGGAAGUGCAUCCGAAACUGCAUGGCUCGAGUCUCGGAGAGGAAGGUGGAAUGCUUGGUGUAGAGGUGAAAUUCGUAGAUAUCAAGCAGAACACCUGCGGCGAAGGCGGCCUUCUGGACGAUGACUGACGCUGAGACGCGAAAGCGUGGGGAGCAAACAGG